rnacentral:misc_RNA from 1 species
UCCGGUUUGACACCGGCAGUCUCCCUAGAGUGCCCAGCAUAACCCGCUGGUAACUAGGGACGAGGGUUGCGCUCGUUGCGGGACUUAACCCAACAUCUCACGACACGAGCUGACGACAGCCAUGCACCACCUGUACACCGGCCUUGCGGAGGCCGUGUCUCCACGGCUUUCCAGUGUAUGUCAAACCCAGGUAAGGUUCUUCGCGUUGCAUCGAAUUAAUCCACAUGCUCCGCCGCUUGUGCGGGCCCCCGUCAAUUCCUUUGAGUUUCAGCCUUGCGGCCGUACUCCCCAGGCGGGGCACUUACUGCGUUAGCGACGGCACCGGGAGGGUCGCUCCCCCCGACGCCUAGUGCCCAUCGUUUACGGCGUGGACUAC